rnacentral:rRNA from 1 species
CCUACGGGUGGCAGCAGUGAGGAAUAUUGGUCAAUGGGCGCGAGCCUGAACCAGCCAAGUCGCGUGAGGGAAGACGGUCCUAUGGAUUGUAAACCUCUUCUGUCGGGGAGCAAAAGACGCCACGCGUGGCGUUCCGAGAGUACCCGAAGAAAAAGCAUCGGCUAACUCGGUGCCAGCCGCCGCGGUACUACGGAGGAUGCGAGCGUUAUCUGGAUUUAUUGGGUUAAACGGGUGCGCAGGCGGAAGAUCAAGUCAGCGGUAAAAUUGAGAGGCUCAACCUCUUCGAGCCGUUGAAACUGGUUUUCUUGAGUGAGUGAGAAGUAUGCGGAAUGCGUGGUGUAGCGGUGAAAUGCGUAGAGAUCACGCAGAACUCCGAUGGCGAAGGCAGCAUACCGGCGCUCAACUGACGCUCAUGCACGAAAGUGUGGGUAGCGAACAGGAUUAGAUACCCCAGUAGUC